AGAAACGCCAUGAAGAGAAGAGUAGAUGAAUGAGGAAGCCUUGCAGAGAGCUCCGGCAGCUGAAAAGGAGCAGGAUUCCCUUCGUUGAACCAAGCCUCUGAGCGGCGCAUCGGAACGGGUUGCCGGGAUGGUGCGACAGGUGCUCCUGUUACAGAGCUAGGGUAUAAGCAUCCGAUGCGGCUGCCGUACCUGAUGAGGCGGAUAUAGCGAUAUAUCGGCGAACCGGGGUGGCACCGCGACAGCAAAUCUCGUCCCCAAG
rnacentral:ncRNA from 1 species